UAUCCACAUUUGCUCUCCCUCUGUUCCAGCCCUCGGAUGGGAAGAGCAAUGAGACCAGCAUGCUGGGAGACAGCUCCUGGGAGGAGCUCUGCUGCAGGUGAUUCCUUCCACAUUGCCUGCUGCCCCAGUGUGAAGAAGCCCCAUGGUGCCCGCCCCAUCAAUCAAGUGUGAAUACGGAACAUCUCUAACCUCUGGCUUUAAGCACUCACAGAAGAUUUUUGCUGUACAGUGUUAAGCACAGGGAACACAGUUAUUUUCUCAAAGGCUCAAUGCAACAACUUAGAAAUCCAGAUGAUACUACAAAACAUAUAAUAAACCAGAAGUGUACAUCAAA